UCGAUAAUCGCACCAUUCGGUGGAUUUUUCGCAAGUGGCUUCAAGAGGGCUUUUAAAAUAAAGGAUUUUGGCGACAGUAUACCUGGGCAUGGUGGAAUCACCGACCGAAUGGACUGUCAAAUGGUUAUGGCAGUUUUUGCAUACAUAUACCACCAAUCGUUCAUCUCGCCCCACAAUUUCUCUGUUGACGCAACCUUGGAUCAGAUCUUAAGAAACCUGACGUACGAGGAGCAGAGAAACUUGUAUGAGCAACUCGGGGAGAUGUUGGGCAACUUAUGCAAAGCUGAUAAACUCGCUGCUUGCUUAUGAAAAGCACACAACACAAGACAGUAGGCUGGCUGUGUAUGUAUCUAUUUGAGCGCUCGCUCGGUUCGCCGCCAUGAAUGUAGCUCUAGAUUCACCGUGUACAGCGUCGUCGUCGUCGUAGCUCCUCUGUACCCUUGUGAUGGGAGUGAUGGUGUCCUUGUCGAAAACAUUGUACAGAAUGGAUGUAUGGACUGUGGUUGAUAGGGCUAACUAAUUUAAUGAGGUGCUUGAUUUGCUGUG